rnacentral:rRNA from 1 species
UUAAGCUAGAAAGGGCAUACGGUGGAUGCCUAGGCACUAAGAGUCGAAGAAGGACGCGGUAAGCUGCGAAAAGCUGUGAGGAGCUGCAAGCAAGCUGAGAAUCACAGAUAUCCGAAUGGGACAACCCGUCAGUGAUAAUACGCUGACAUCGUAUAUUGAGUCAAGUAGAUAUACGAAGACAACCCGGGGAACUGAAACAUCUAAGUACCCGGAGGAAAAGAAAGCAAAAGCGAUUCCCCCAGUAGCGGCGAGCGAAAAGGGAGCAGCCCAAACCGAUUCUUCGGAAUCGGGGUAGAGGACUUCCAAAAAGAAUGGAUGGUUAGCAGAAUGAUCUGGGAAGGUCAGUCGAAGAAGGUAAUAACCCUGUAUGCGAAAGCCAGAAAUUUGGGGAAGGAUCCGGAGUACCACGAAGCACGUGAAAUUUCGUGGGAAGCAGGGGGGACCACCCUCCAAGGCUAAAUACUCCUUAGUGACCGAUAGUGAACAAGUACCGUGAGGGAAAGGUGAAAAGAACCCCGGAAGGGGAGUGAAAAAGAACCUGAAACCGUAUGCUUACAAGCUGUCACAGCACCAUACGAGUGUAGUGGCGUACUUUUUGUAGAACGGACCGGCGAGUUACGAUGUCAAGCGAGGUUAAGAUGAGAAGUCGGAGCCGAAGCGAAAGCGAGUCUGAAGAGGGCGAAAGUUUGACAUAGUAGACCCGAAACCGGGUGAUCUACCCAUGAGCAGGAUGAAGCGUUAGUAAAAUAACGUGGAGGUCCGAACCAGGUAUCGUUGAAAAGAUAUUGGAUGACUUGUGGGUAGGGGUGAAAUUCCAAUCGAACCCGGAGAUAGCUGGUUCUCCUCGAAAUAGCUUUAGGGCUAGCCUUGAAUUAGAUUAUGGGAGGUAGAGCACUGAAUAGGCUAGGGGGCUUCACCGCCUACCGAACCUUAUCAAACUACGAAUGCCGAUAAUUGAUGUUCAGGAGUCAGACUGUGGGGGAUAAGCUUCAUGGUCAAAAGGGAAACAGCCCAGACCGCCGGCUAAGGUCCCAAAGUGUGUGUUAAGUGGAAAAGGAUGUGAAAUCGCUCAGACAACCAGGAUGUUGGCUCAGAAGCAGCCACCAUUAAAAGAGUGCGUAAUAGCUCACUGGUCCAGGGGUUUUGCGCCGAAAAUGUAACGGGGCUCAAACACACCACCGAAGCCGCGGAAUGUUUUAGGACAUUGGUAGAGGAGCGUUCUUAAUGCGACGAAGGCGUACCGAGAGGAGCGUUGGAGCGUUAAGAAGUGAGAAUGCCGGUAUUAGUAUGCGAAAAGGCAGGUGAGAAUCCUGCCCGCCGAAAAUCUAAGGAUUCCUGGGGAAGGCUCGUCCGCCCAGGGUAAGUCGGGACCUAAGGCGAGGCCGAAAGGCGUAGUCGAUGGGAAACUGGUAGAUAUUCCAGUACCAGCGGAGGUCAAUUGAGUGAAGUAGUGAAGCAGAAGGAUAGGGAGAGCGCCCAGUUGGUGAGGCGUUUAAGUAAGUAGGGUGAUGUGCAGGCAAAUCCACACAUCGAGAGCCUGAGAUACGAAUACGAGUGAAAACUAGUAGCGAAGUCCCCGAUUCCCGGCUGCCAAGAAAAGCUGCUAACGAGACCGAAGGUGCCCGUACCGCAAACCGACACAGGUAGAUGGGGUGAGAAACCUAAGGCGCGCGAGAAAACUCUUGUUAAGGAACUCGGCAAAAUGAACCCGUAACUUCGGGAGAAGGGUUGCUCAUUAGUGUGAGUAUCCGUGCGAUACAGAGCACAGAUGAGUCGCAGAGAAAAGGUCCAGGCGACUGUUUAGCAAAAACACAGGUCAUUGCAAAACCGCAAGGUGAAGUAUAAUGGCUGACGCCUGCCCGGUGCUGGAAGGUUAAGGGGAAGAGUGAGAGCUUUGAACCGAAGCCCCAGUAAACGGCGGCCGUAACUAUAACGGUCCUAAGGUAGCGAAAUUCCUUGUCGGGUAAGUUCCGACCCGC